UGCGAAAGCAGGUCAUAGUGAUCCGGUGGUUCUGAAUGGAAGGGCCAUCGCUCAACGGAUAAAAGGUACUCCGGGGAUAACAGGCUGAUACCGCCCAAGAGUUCAUAUCGACGGCGGUGUUUGGCACCUCGAUGUCGGCUCAUCACAUCCUGGGGCUGAAGUAGGUCCCAAGGGUAUGGCUGUUCGCCAUUUAAAGUGGUACGCGAGCUGGGUUUAGAACGUCGUGAGACAGUUCGGUCCCUAUCUGCCGUGGGCGCUGGAGAACUGAGGGGGGCUGCUCCUAGUACGAGAGGACCGGAGUGGACGCAUCACUGGUGUUCGGGUUGUCAUGCCAAUGGCACUGCCCGGUAGCUAAAUGCGGAAGAGAUAAGUGCUGAAAGCAUCUAAGCACGAAACUUGCCCCGAGAUGAGUUCUCCCUGAGACUUUAGGUCUCCUGAAGGAACGUUGAAGACGACGACGUUGAUAGGCCGGGUGUGUAAGCGCAGCGAUGCGUUGAGCUAACCGGUACUAAUGAACCGUGAGGCUUAACCUUACAA
rnacentral:rRNA from 3 species